CCCGGCCCUGCCCGGAGCGCUGCGCGUGCGCCUGCUGGUCCUCGGCGGGCCCUUGGGCAGGAGCGAGCGGCAGUAAAGCGACCUGGUGAGGCCCGGCGGAGCACUAACGCUCCCCAGCUGCGGAAGGGCUAAAGCGGCUGUUCACUUCAAACUCGCAGAAUUCAGCAGUGAAUCUAUCAGGACAUGGGCUUUUCUUUGGUGGCUGGAAAUGGGUCAUGAACCUUCAAGGUGCAGCCUGACCUUGCCCAGUCCGAGCACUGCCUCUGUGUCUGUCUUCUCUGGAACUUCAUGCAGCAGCCUAACUGGGGCCACUUUGCCUUUACUCUCUUUUCUGUGAUGAACACUUGUGGAGAAACUGACAGAUCCACUGAUCCUACUAUUUUUAUUUUUGGAGUCCUGUGGAUUCUCUAUGAAUACUUUCUAUUUGCUCAUACUGUGUAGUGUUAAUAUCCACUAGGGAUAUGUUAAUAAAACUAUAAAUGCAUAGUGUAAUAUAGAAUAGCAAAAAAAUUUGUGAACAAUUUAUAUAGAAAAGCUAAGUUGUUUUUUAAGUGUUAGGCAUAUUUCUUUUAAGGACUUAAAAUGUUAUAAAAGCCUUUUAAACAGUCAAUAUUUUUAAUUAUGAGACAUUUGUUACUGGAACCAGUUAUUUCAGGUGUUCUAAUGGGAGUAUUGAUUUUAUUACCUCAUAUACCUCCAGAAUGCCACACGUUCUUCUGGGGACAAAAACUGCACAAUGAAUGUCAAGUCUCUGUUUCAGCGUUUUUCUAAGUAAGAAUGCGCGGUGAGCGCGUCUUGAGGAGGGCAGGCGCCUGUUUCUGGUGUUUCCUCACCCUGAGGCUCCUGCUCAGGCUCCCUCCCUGCGGAAUCUGUUUUGUCACACCCAGCUCUCCAGCAGACUUCCUGCUGUGUAAGUGUCAUAGCCGCCCGGCCAAGGAACAGCAUUUAGAGACUCUUGUUUUAUGGAAUGUGACCGAACCGUACGGUGAACGUUCAAAUAAAAAGAGUUUAAGCUUUAUUACCGUAAAAGGCAUGCUGCAUUAACCCCCUCAGAACACUCCCCUUGCGCUUAACACACACAUCCCCUCAACUCACCUCUUGCCACUUCUGAAGCAGUUCUGGAAGUCCUCGUUUGUGUCUUCUCGGCUGCCUCAGUGUCCUGCGUUACUCCAAACAUCUGUGGCAAUUUCGGUAGAAGUCGUUACAGUGUGCCCUGGUCCGUCUUAUCCAUCAGAUUGGGCACCAGGUGACACGGCUUCGCCCCAGAGUCAAAAUGGCCAUGGAAGGUAAAUGCUGUGACUCGGUUGCGGACACCAGGGCAUCCACAGGAGUGCAACUGAAGACACUCACGGAAGAGGACCUCCAGAACUGCUUCAGGAGGAGGCAAGGGUGAACAGGAGGAGCGCCAGGUGAGGAGAAUUUCGAGGCGGGUUCAUGGCCAGUACCUUUUACUACAGGAAGUUAUAAAGACUUAAACAUUAACUGUAUUAUCUGACCACACCUCCUAGUCUCAGCCUGAGAUUUCUCCCAGACCACCAAAGUAAAGCAGCAGGUUGUGCCCUGGAUGCACACACAAGCAGCAGGUUUCGGCUGUGGCUCUGUUUUGGUUUGACCUCGGCAAGGUCAACAACCACAAUAGCAUACGAAAGAGUCUUCCCAGAAACUUUCUUCACGGUGAAGUUUUCAUUCAGAAUGAGCCUGUUUAUUUAACUUUUCAGCCUCUUCUCAUUUAAUGGCUAUGUGAGCACGUCUAACCCGACCCACCCACGUCUGCCCCUUAGCAUUUUCGUGAGUGCCGUGGGCUGCUGCGUGGCCACUUGCUGCGUCAUCGUGGUCAUCAGCAUUGCCUUCUUAAGCCUCUCUGGGGUCAGAAAUACUUGCUCUUGACUUUGUCAAAAUAAACUAUGUCAAAUAUUU